UUAACGAAGCACCGGUUUUCAUACGGUCACCGAAGUUAAGCAAUGUCAAGCCUGGUUAGUACCUAGAUGGGUGACCGCUUGGGAAAGCCAGA